rnacentral:rRNA from 1 species
GAUGAACGCUGGCGGCGUGCCUAACACAUGCAAGUCGAGCGAACAGACGAGGAGCUUGCUCCUCUGACGUUAGCGGCGGACGGGUGAGUAACACGUGGAUACCCUACCUAUAAGACUGGGAUAACUUCGGGAAACCGGAGCCAAUCCCGUAGAAUAUAUUGAACCGCACGGUUCAAUAGUGAAAGACGGUUUUGCUGUCACUUAUCGCUGGAUCCGCGCCGCAUUAGCUAGUGGGUAAGGUAACGGCUGACCAAGGCAACGAUGCGUAGCCGACCUGAGAGCGUGCUCGCCCACACUGGAUCUGAGACCCGGUCCAGACUCCUACGGGAGGCACCAGUCGGGAAUCUUCCGCCAUGGGCGCCAGCCUCACCGAGCGACCCCGCGCGAGUGAUGAAGGUCUUCGGAUCGUAAAACUCUGUUAUUCGGGACGAACAAAUGUGUAAGUAACUAUGCACGUCUUGACGGUACCUAAUCAGAAAUCCACGGCUAACUACGUG